rnacentral:rRNA from 1 species
GACGAACGCUGGCGGCGCGCUUAACACAUGCAAGUCGAACGGAAAGGCCUGCUUUCCCUUGUGGAUUGCGGGUACUCGAGUGGCGAACGGGUGAGUAACACGUGAGUGAUCUGCCCCCAACUUGGGUAUAAGCCUGGGAAACUGGGUCUAAUUCCCGAUAGGACUGCAGGGUGGUGCCUGUGGUGGAAAACGAUUUUCUAGUGGUUGGGGAUGAGCUCGCGGCCUAUCAGCUUGUUGGUGGGGUAAUGGCCUACCAAGGCGGCGACGGGUAGCCGGCCUGAGAGGGUGGACGGCCACAUUGGGACUGGGAUACGGCCCAGACUCCGACGGGAGGCAGCAGUGGGGAAUAUAGCACAAUGGGCGGAAGCCUGAUGCAGCGACGCCUCGUGGGGGAUGACGGCCUUCGGGUAGUAAACUCCUUUCGACCGCGAGGAAGCCACCUGGUUGGAAGGGUGGUGACGGUAGUGGUAGAAGAAGCACCGGCUAACUACGUG